CGAACGUGGGUAACCUGCCCAUCAGAGGGGGAUAACAUUCGGAAACGGAUGCUAAAACCGCAUAGGUUCUUGAGUCGCAUGACCCGAGAAGGAAAAGAGGCUUCGGCUUCUGCUGAUGGAUGGACCCGCGGUGCAUUAGCUAGUUGGUGAGGUAACGGCUCACCAAGGCCGUGAUGCAUAGCCGACCUGAGAGGGUGAUCGGCCACAUUGGGACUGAGACACGGCCCAA
rnacentral:rRNA from 1 species